UGAGGAAUAUUGGUCAAUGGACGGAAGUCUGAACCAGCCAAGUAGCGUGCAGGAUGACGGCCCUAUGGGUUGUAAACUGCUUUUGUAUGGGGAUAAAGUUAGGGACGUGUCCCUAUUUGCAGGUACCAUACGAAUAAGGACCGGCUAAUUCCGUGCCAGCAGCCGCGGUAAUACGGAAGGUCCAGGCGUUAUCCGGAUUUAUUGGGUUUAAAGGGAGCGUAGGCUGGAGAUUAAGUGUGUUGUGAAAUGUAGACGCUCAACGUCUGAAUUGCAGCGCAUACUGGUUUCCUUGAGUACGCACAACGUUGGCGGAAUUCGUCGUGUAGCGGUGAAAUGCUUAGAUAUGACGAGGAACUCCGAUUGCGAAGGCAGCUGACGGGAGCGCAACUGACGCUUAAGCUCGAAGGUGCGGGUAUCAAACAGGAUUAGAUACCCUGGUAGUCCGCACAGUAAACGAUGGAUGCCCGCUGUUGGUACCUGGUAUCAGCGGCUAAGCGAAAGCAUUAAGCAUCCCACCUGGGGAGUACGCCGGCAACGGUG
rnacentral:rRNA from 1 species